GACAGAUUCUUAUACGAUUUCAUUGAUGGUCACAAACACAAGGUAAGUGAAUUUGUUACUAGUAAUAAUUCCACCCCUUCCCAAUUUGGCUCUACUCAGCUUGCUGGCUUUGUUCUUGACAUGUUCUGCAUCUCCAUGAUUGAUGUAGCUAAUGAAUUUUGUGUUCCUAGUUAUAUUUUCUUUACUUCUGCUGCUGCUUUUCUAGCCCUGUCCUUUCAUUUUGAAGCUUUGAGGAAUAACUUCAAGUUCGAUUAUUCCGAGUCUGAUGAGGAAUUAUCGAUUCUCGGAUUUAAAAAUCCGUAUCCUGCUAAAGUUUUACCUAGACCAGCUAAAGCAAUUACACCAAGCUCGACUUUGUACUACGAUGGGAUUCGUCGUUUUAGAGAGACCAAAGGUAUUGUUAUCAAUACGUUUGCGGAGCUUGAACCUUUUGCUCUUCAGUCAUUGUCUGAUGCUAAAAUGGCUCCUCCGAUUUAUCCCAUUCAUGCUGUAUUCAAUUCGGAUGAUAAUGAGGAAAAACAGGAAAUAGAAAGUAUUGUGGAGUGGUUAGAUAAUCAGCCAAACUCAUCUGUAGUGUUCUUGUGCUUUGGAACCAUGGGUAGUUUUGAACCUGAGCAGGUAAAGGAGAUAGCAAUUGCGUUAGAGCAUAGUGGGCACCGGUUCUUGUGGUCUUUACGAAGGCCUCCACCAAAGGGGAAAAUAGAAAUGCCAAGCAAUUAUGACAAUUCGGAGGAAGUGCUGCCUGAAGGGUUCUUGGAGAGGACAAAAGGAAUUGGGAAACUGGUAGGAUGGGCACCACAAGUGACUGUACUUUCACAUCCUGCGGUGGGGGUAUUCGUGUCACAUUGUGGAUGGAAUUCGACAAUGGAGAGUGUGUGUUGUGGGGUGCCUAUUGCUGCUUGGCCGUUGUAUGCUGAACAACAGAUGAAUGCGUUUUUGUUGGUUAAGGAAUUGGGUUUGGCAGUGGAGAUUCGGAUGGACUAUGUGAAGGACUUUGAGGGGAAAAAUCCAGUUGAUAUAGUUACUGCUGAGGAAAUUGAAGGCGCCAUACAGAAGCUUAUGGAGAAUGGUGAAGAGAAUGAAGUGAGGAAAAGAGUGAAGGAAAUGCGAGAGAAGAGCAGAAAAGCCAUGGAAGAAGGCGGAUCGUCUUAUACCUCUUUACGACUUCUAAUUGACGAUUUCAUCAGCAACAUCUCCUGAAAAAUUUCCGCAAAAAGAUCUUCAGCAAUGGUAGGUUUUUCACUGGAUGCUCAGAACAUAAACUUUUAAAUGCAUUAUGACCAAAGUUUUCUAUGUUGAUAUUUGUUGUUGUUGCAUAUUUUUAGUGUAAUUAUAGUUAGUAUUGGCAGUUCAUG
rnacentral:misc_RNA from 1 species